GGUGGGGUGACCGAGUGGCAAGGUGGUCGGUUUGGUAACCGACUUGUCUUCAUCAGGCAAACAUGGGUUCGAAUCCCAUCCCCACCG
rnacentral:tRNA from 1 species